rnacentral:tRNA from 1 species
UCCGGGAUCGUCUAAUGGCAGGACAGCAGCCUUUGGAGCUGCGAAUCGGGGUUCGAAUCCCUGUCCCGGAA